UGUCUUUAAAUUCUCAGCCAUUAAUUUGCUCGAACGCUGCGAGUGAAUUUAGCCACAUCUGAUCUGAUUGAACGAUGGAUAUACCCAUCAGCUAGUGUUUGAGAAAAGCCCUGGACCAUCAAACGACCGCUCUGGAUCUGAUAGCCGCCUGUGACUCGAUCGAAACGGUCGUUUUAGGUCCUCUUUAUUUUGUCGCAGUCAGAAAUUAUUCCAGCUCAAGGCCAGCGGUCGCGCGCACUGUUUCUCUGCUCCUACAGCCUUUCACAUCUCUUCGCCUCAUAAACUAGACACAUCUCUUGUGUAAUGUCUAGGUCAUCCUGGUUUGGUGUCUGAUUUGAUUUGCGGGCAGAUCUGAAUUUCUAACACAGAUUCGGUCUCAAGCUGAUAUAUAAAGCUGUUCCAGUAAUGCAAACACUAGUUUUGCUUAAAGUCAAAUAGAGCAAAGGCUGUACGAGGCAGAGAAAGGCCAGAGGGAGAAGACGUAUACUGAGUCUUUGUGCCAGGGGUUGUGCUCCCCUCUUACUGCUGGUCACCCAUCGAUUCCUGGCUGCCUUCCACCUCUGAUCACAGCCAUGACCUCUCAGAGAGACCCCGACACAGUGAGUAUAUCAGUCUACAUCUCUCUGUAC